rnacentral:lncRNA from 1 species
UAUAGACAAGAAAUGAGAGAGAACUGGGAUAGUCUAAGGCCACAUGGAGAUCUGUCUUGCACUAUGUUGACUUAGUUUAGAGGCCCCGGCUGGAGAGGAGUCAGGCCCUUUUCUUGUGGGGUCAAUUAAGUCCGAUCCUCAAUUACCUCCUUGUUUGUCUCUCAGACCCUUGGCCGCUAUUCAGUCGCCAUAUGUGCCUCGGAGCCAGAAACCACAAAAAAAGGUUUUCGCCUACUGCUGCCCUUUAUCCCUCUGGCUCAACUCUGACGCUGGUGCUCCCACGAGUGGCCCCCUGUGGCAUGGCACGCUGUGUUCUCCCCAGGGAACUCUUUAGGAGACAGGAUGUCUGAGGUCAGAAGUUCCCCCUGGUGACCAAACCAGUUAAGACUGAUGAGAUUCAAGAUCCAGCUCAC